UUGGCGUCCGUUUCGACUACAAUUCAUGACUCAUCCCUCAAACCCACAAACCCUUCUCUCUCCCUCUCUCCCUCUCUCCCUCUCUCUGUGUAUAUCCGUGCUGAGCUCGCCGCUUGAAACCUGAGUCAACUCGGUGAAUCCAUGUCAAUUCGAUUCAAAUUCCGGAGCUCGGCGAGCUUCGACUCCGUGGACCUCCAAGGACGCUCCUCAAUCUCCGUACGGGAGCUGAGGUUGAAGAUCAUACGCGAUAAGAAUCUUAAUAUUUGUCAGGACUUCGAUCUUGUGUUUUCUGAUGCCGUAUCUGGCGAAGAGUACAAUGACGAAAAGUUUCAAAUUCCGAGUGGUUCGAGUAUAAUUGUUAGGAGAGUUCCGGCUGGUACGCUGCCUUCUGCCAAUGCGAUGCAUGUUGUCAUGACAAAUGACUGUGGGAAGCAAGGUUCUGAUCAUUUCAAUCAAGCUUGUGUAAAAGUUGAUGAUUUUGAUGACUUUGGCACUGAUAUGUGCCCUCCUCUUGGGGAGCCGUUUCACGAGUCAAAUCCUGAAUGUGAUGAGAAAAACUGCUGUGGCUUCGAAGAGGCAGAUGUUCCUGGUUCAAGGUUUCAAUGCCAUAAGCUCGAGUCAAGUGAUUUGAGUCAAGCUAUUCAUAAAGGUUCUAAUCAUAGCAUGGAUGAAAGGAACAUGGUGGUACAAGAAGCAAGAGCUGAAGAUCAGAAGUGGGAAAAGGAAUACACUAAUUUGCCAUUAGAACUCAAAUGCCCUCUCUGCAACACAUUUUUCAAGGAGGCUGUGCUUAUACCUUGCUGCCAGCAUAGUUUUUGUAAAAAAUGCAUUAGCUUUGAUCUUCUUGAGAAGAAAAGGUGCCCAAUUUGUUCAUCCAGCAAAUUCAGAGUGGACGACUUGCUCCCAAACUUAUCUCUAAGACAAGCAAUUGAGCAUUUUCUUGGAUCUCAAAUGAUUGGUACUGGCUCACAGAAUGAUCUGUGUAAACUUGUACCGGAUGGAGAAUCUGGAAUUCAUGCUAUGGACAUUUCUUGUGCUGUAACUGUUAUUCAAAGGGAACCUGAAAUGCCUCAUUCCCCCUCUGCUACUGGACAUGGAUCAAAUCAAGUUUUAGCGGAUUCAUUUUUUGAGUCGCUUAGGAGAAAUACAUCACGGAAGAUGCACCGAUUUGGUGGACAAAGAGCUCAAUUUGCUCACUUGAAUCUUCAUGGUGAAGCUGAUAAUGUGCCAAUUACUGACUUUCAGGGGAAAAACCAGCCUCUAAAUUUACGUCACAUCCAUGUUCAGGAUGAAGUGGAAUCUACCAUGAAGAGGAAAGGAGGACAACUAGUCAAUACAGAAGGGGAGGAGACAAAUUUUUGGGCUACUGGUAGGCCUAAAAAGGGAGGGCGUAACUGUUACAUAUGUGGUUCUCUGGAGCAUCUUAUGAGAGACUGUCCUUUUGCUUCUAGUCCACAUCCCAUGGUUCACACAGGAAAUUAUAUGCUUAUGGGAGGGAUGCCAGGCUAUCCACCACCAUAUUGGAAUAGCAGUCUGUAUUCUCCCAUGCGGCCAUUUACAAAUAUGUAUGGUAAUCCUGGAAUGAUGCCAUUUGGUGCAUCCAUGGUCCCUACAGCUACUUUUUGUGCUUCUCCAUAUAUGCCCACUAUGCACAGUGGAAUACCCCUCAAUGGAGGAGUCAUGAGAAAGGACUGUAUGGCACCUCCAAUGGGAAUCAAAGCUGAGUGCAUAUUAAACCAAAAUGAAUUUAUGGAGCCCCAACACCAUAGCGGCAAAAGGAAUGUUUCAGAUGAAAAUUUGGGGAGAUCUAGAGGGAAGCAAUGCAGUGAUAAAUAUGAUGGCAAUGUGCCCUAUGGUAAGAAGGAAAAAGAAAGGCUUGACUACAAACAUUGUAAAGAUAGGGAAGCAAGUACAAGUUGCUCUGAGGACAACAUGGGUCAAAGGCCAAAGAGGAAAUAUCAGCAUGUUGUCACUAGACGCGAUAGAAGUCCUCCGUCCUUUAGGGAGAAGCAUAUGGAGAGGUCAAAUUCUGGCUUGGAGGAUUUGGGUCACAGUAGAGAGAAGCAUGACCACCACCAUAGAGAUGCUAGAAAGCACCAUGAAAAAAGGGUACAAGGUGGCAGUGAUUCUAGUAGGGGUCACCAUCAUCUCUCUAGAGAGGAACGCAGAAGAUCGGAGCACGAUGUGAGAGGUUUCCAUCAGAAGCGUCCCAAUUUUUGUGAUUCAGGUUCUCCUCGGAAUCAUAGAGGAGGUGGCAAAGAAAGGGAAUCUGGCCUUGAGUACAGACAUCCUAGGAACAAUAGCAAACACCCUGGCAAUGAGUUGCGUGAUGAAAGGAGGCAAAUGGUUGAUGGCUCAUAUGAAGAUUGUAGAGCUGAUUACCAUCUCCACAAAAGAAAGAGAGUCCAUUAGAUUCUCAAGCAUGACUCUGAGGUACCAUGUAAAUGAGGAUGCACACACAUCAUUAUAGGUGACGGAUCUUGUUUACUUUCAUUUCACAAAGAUUCGUUAAAAGUGGUCGGCUUUUGGACAGUAACAUUUUGACUAACCUUUACUAACAUUUGCUAACUAAUCCUAUUCACUUCUUAGUGUGGGAUCUGGAUGCUAGCAAAGGUUUUAACCAGAACCUGUUCUGGUUAAUCAUUUAGUUUGGACCAUUUUAUAUGCUGCCCAACUAUCUCCUGCAAAAAGGUAAUGUAGCUGAUUGAGGUAAGUUCUCUUUUCAAAUUCUGGUAAUUUCACCAUCCUUCUAAUACUUCCCAAAUGAGACCUUCUCCACACUCGGAGGACUUUGUCUAUUGCAAAACUUAUAUGACUACUACCUGAAAUUUGCUAUACCACCUUGCUGUUUCUUGUUUC